rnacentral:rRNA from 1 species
CCUACGGGAGGCUGCAGUAGGGAAUCUUCCACAAUGGGCGAAAGCCUGAUGGAGCAACGCCGCGUGGGUGAAGAAGGUCUUCGGAUCGUAAAACCCUGUUGUUAGAGAAGAAAGUGCGUGAGAGUAACUGUUCACGUUUCGACGGUAUCUAACCAGAAAGCCACGGCUAACUACGUGCCAGCAGCCGCGGGAAUACGUAGGUGGCAAGCGUUAUCCGGGUUUAUUGGGCGUAAAGGGAACGCAGGCGGUCUUUUAAGUCUGAUGUGAAAGCCUUCGGCUUAACCGGAGUAGUGCAUUGGAAACUGGGAGACUUGAGUGCAGAAGAGGAGAGUGGAACUCCAUGUGUAGCGGUGGAAUGCGUAGAGAUAUGGAAGAACACCAGUGGCGAAAGCGGCUCUCUGGACUGUAACUGACGUUGAGGCUCGAAAGCGUGGGGAGCAAACAGGAUUAGAUACCCGUGUAGUC